rnacentral:rRNA from 1 species
UACGUAGGUCCCGAACGUUGCGCGAAUUUACUGGGCGUAAAGGGUCCGUAGUCGGUUUAGCAAGUGGUUGGUGAAAUUUCACGGCUCAACCGUGAAACUGCCUUCCAAACUGCUAAACUUGAGGCAGGGAGAGGUCGGCGGAAUUCCCGGUGUAGCGGGGAAAUGCGUAGAUAUCGGGAGGGACACCAGUGGCGAAGGCGGCCGACUGGAACUGUCCUGACGCUGAGGGACGAAAGCUAGGGGUGCAAACCGG